GAUGAACGCUGGCGGCGUGCUUAACACAUGCAAGUCGAACGAUGAAGCCCAGCUUGCUGGGUGGAUUAGUGGCGAACGGGUGAGUAACACGUGAGUAACCUGCCCUUAACUCUGGGAUAAGCCUGGGAAACUGGGUCUAAUACCGGAUAGGAGCGCCUACCGCAUGGUGGGUGUUGGAAAGAUUUAUCGGUUUUGGAUGGACUCGCGGCCUAUCAGCUUGUUGGUGAGGUAAUGGCUCACCAAGGCGACGACGGGUAGCCGGCCUGAGAGGGUGACCGGCCACACUGGGACUGAGACACGGCCCAGACUCCUACGGGAGGCAGCAGUGGGGAAUAUUGCACAAUGGGCGCAAGCCUGAUGCAGCGACGCCGCGUGAGGGAUGACGGCCUUCGGGUUGUAAACCUCUUUCAGUAGGGAAGAAGCGAAAGUGACGGUACCUGCAGAAGAAGCACCGGCUAACUACGUGCCAGCAGCCGCGGUAAUACGUAGGGUGCGAGCGUUAUCCGGAAUUAUUGGGCGUAAAGAGCUCGUAGGCGAUUUGUCGCGUCUGUCGCGAAAGUCCGGUGCUUAACCCCGGAUCUGCGGUGGGUACGGGCAGACUAUAGUUGCAGUAGGGGAGACUGGAAUUCCUGGUGUAGCGGUGGAAUGCGCAGAUAUCAGGAGGAACACCGAUGGCGAAGGCAGGUCUCUGGGCUGUAACUGACGCUGAGGAGCGAAAGCAUGGGGAGCGAACAGGAUUAGAUACCCUGGUAGUCCAUGCCGUAAACGUUGGGCACUAGGUGUGGGGACCAUUCCACGGUUUCCGCGCCGCAGCUAACGCAUUAAGUGCCCCGCCUGGGGAGUACGGCCGCAAGGCUAAAACUCAAAGGAAUUGACGGGGGCCCGCACAAGCGGCGGAGCAUGCGGAUUAAUUCGAUGCAACGCGAAGAACCUUACCAAGGCUUGACAUGUUCUCGAUCGCCGUAGAGAUACGGUUUCCCCUUUGGGGCGGGUUCACAGGUGGUGCAUGGUUGUCGUCAGCUCGUGUCGUGAGAUGUUGGGUUAAGUCCCGCAACGAGCGCAACCCUCGUUCCAUGUUGCCAGCACGUAAUGGUGGGGACUCAUGGGAGACUGCCGGGGUCAACUCGGAGGAAGGUGAGGACGACGUCAAAUCAUCAUGCCCCUUAUGUCUUGGGCUUCACGCAUGCUACAAUGGCCGGUACAAUGGGUUGCGAUACUGUGAGGUGGAGCUAAUCCCUAAAAGCCGGUCUCAGUUCGGAUUGGGGUCUGCAACUCGACCCCAUGAAGUCUGAGUCUCUAGUAAUCCCAGAUCAGCAACGCUGCGGUGAAUACUUUCCCGGGCCU
rnacentral:rRNA from 1 species